rnacentral:tRNA from 1 species
GGACAGGUGGGUGAGAGGCCGAAACCGCGGGAUUGUAAAUCCCGUCCCUAACCGGCGCGUUGGUUCGAAUCCAACCCUGUCCACCA